AGGGCUGAAUGUGUAAAGGUCAACAGAACAGUGGUCUCCUGAUGGAGUUGGGGACAGGGCAGAAUGUGUAAAGGUCAACAGAACAGUGGUCUCCUGAUGGAGUUGGGGACAGGGCAUGAACUCAUUGUAAAGGUCAACAGAACAGUGGUCUCCUGAUGGAGUUGGGGACAGGGCUGAAUGUGUAAAGGUCAACAGAACAGUGGUCUCCUGAUGGAGUUGGGGACAGGGCAUGAACUCAUUGUAAAGGUCAACAGAACAGUGGUCUCCUGAUGGAGUUGGGGACAGGGCAUGAACUCAUUGUAAAGGUCAACAGAACAGUGGUCUCCUGAUGGAGUUGGGGACAGGGCUGAAUGUGUAAAGGUCAACAGAACAGUGGUCUCCUGAUGGAGUUGGGGACAGGGCAUGAACUCAUUGUAAAGGUCAACAGAACAGUGGUCUCCUGAUGGAG